rnacentral:rRNA from 1 species
GUGAGGAAUAUUGGUCAAUGGAGGCAACUCUGAACCAGCCAUGCCGCGUGCAGGAAGACGGUCCUAUGGAUUGUAAACUGCUUUUAUUUAGGAAUAAACCCCCGGUCGUGCACCGGGGCUGAAUGUACUAAAAGAAUAAGCACCGGCUAACUCCGUGCCAGCAGCCGCGGUAAUACGGAGGGUGCAAGCGUUAUCCGGAAUCAUUGGGUUUAAAGGGUCCGCAGGCGGGUAAAUAAGUCAGAGGUGAAAUCCGGCAGCUCAACUGUCGCACUGCCUUUGAUACUGUUUAUCUUGAAUUUUAGUGGAGUGGGCGGAAUAUGUCAUGUAGCGGUGAAAUGCUUAGAUAUGACGUGGAACACCGAUAGCGAAGGCAGCUCACUAACUAUGAAUUGACGCUCAUGGACGAAAGCGUGGGUAGCAAACAGGAUUAGAAACCCGAGUAGUCC